AAUUUUUCGUACCAUCCCCUGCUGGUCAGUUCCUGCAUCUGUUUUUUUUUUCAAAAUGAAUCCAUCCAUGACAUGACUGUUUGGCAUUUUGUCUAAAGUCUAAAGCUAACCCAAAAUCAUUAGCUUUUAAAAAAUAAAAACUGGUCAAUCAUAUGUCAGUGUAGAAGAUAACAAUGUUAUCUGGUAUUAUGUCAUGUUUUAAAGGUCAAUGAACUUCAGACAAAACGUCAUACUAGCCUGCGGCUCGUGGAUAAACAAGCGACUGUAGCAUACGCAAAUGCUAACGCUAACUGUGUUGUUCUUAACAGUUACUGUUUUCGUUGAGAGCUUGUUUUAAAUUUUUAAUUUGAAUUCAUUUUUACUUAUACAACAGUGUCAACAGUGUUAACAAACGGUUAAAAUGGCGGCCAUAUUAGAAAAUAACUAUUACUGUCUUUACCCAACUUCUGUGAAUGCAGGAACAUUUAUUUUCCUAAUUAUUUUUUAUCAAAUAAAAAUAUAAUUGUGUUCACGAAUUGGGGGAAAAAAAAGAGAAAUUAAACCAUUUUUUUUGUGUGUGUAAUUAGGGGAAUUUCUUAUAUUAUUUAAAAACGGACUAACUCAUUGCGCAUUAGAUUUAUUUAAUUUUAACAUGAAACAAAUAUCCAAAAGUUUUCGAGAUAUGUCUCCAUCUAAAGGUGAAACUGUAGACUGCAGCUGCAGGCGGUCAUUUUUGAAGUCACGUUGAGGAACAGGGAAUCCAGCAGGGCGUGGCCAAAAAUAAUCGCUGACAUCAGUCAGCAGUUUUUUUAAAUGCCAAAAAGUUUCUCUCUGGCCCAGUUUGUUGUUUUUUGUUUUUGUUUUUUUUUCACAGGUCAUUACAAUGUCAGGCAGUCAUAAAUAAUAUCCUGAAGCUCCAAAAGCCAUAGUUGUGGGACAGAGUAAACAUCCAAUCACAAUGUUGUCGGUCAGCAAUGCAAACGUGUUGGCUGUCAAUCAGCCAAAUGAUUUACAGCUAAAGUUUAGAUGAAGACGAACUAGAAAACAUUCACACUGGGAAUUUUUUCGUCCCUAAAUCUGUCUAUAUUUGUCCUUUAUUUACACAGUGGACUUUUAAAAGGUACUGGUGAGUUUUUUUUUUAGACUUUGAGCCUUUCUCUCUAUGUGACUCUUAUCUUCCGGAGCGGGAGGGUAAGAGGCCUGCACUGGGGCUUGUUUUUUUUCUGAUCAGGGCCCCAGUGUCACGCUCUCAGGAAGGCGAAUGUGCGUCUGCGGAGGCAGAGCGGAAUUAGUUUUUAUGAUAAACGCGCGUGAGGACAACGUAGCACUUUGCCCUGCAGAUGUACUCAAACAGCAACGCUGCCGUCGGCGACCGGCGGUCACAAAAUACACAAAAUGAGACUGCUUGAUGUUUUGUUUUUUUUGUUUUUUGCUGAUGACAAUGAAUGAUGGCGUGCGGCAGAGUCACACACUCGAUGUAUAUUUACCCGUUUACAUCCAUAAUCCUGAGAUAUUCUUCCUCUAACCCAUCAACAUAUCCACGCUAGCCACGCUGCACCAAAAAGUUAAUGUAAAUACUUAAAACAAAAACAGAAAAACAAAAAACCACAUUUCUUAUACAAGCACUUUUCUGCUCCCUGGUUUGUAAUCGCGUCCAGUCUUUCUACUUUGUUCAACUUUGGUUCUUUUUGUCUUCUCUUGGAAACAGGCUCAUUUCCUUUUUUUCCUGUACAGGUUUUAUGCAACAGAAUAAAACACCAGAGUGUGUAAAAGAAAAAAAAAAAAUCUGCUGUCUACAUGUCAAAACUCAGGGAUUCCGGCAUCAGUAACUGUUCCUUCAGGAACACACUCUCGGUUGAUGUGAUGAAAUGAUUGUUUCUUUUGUGGAGGAAAAGACACUGUGUUUACAUGUCAACAAUAACGGUGCGGAAUUAUACAUCGUCACAGUUUCACGGAGUGGCAUGAAGAAGAAGAAAAAAAAAAAAGAAAAGAAGUCUUAAUUUUCAAGGACAUGUUUGAAAAUCUAAAAUGCAACUUAGGAACAGGCACAGUGAUGUAAAAUGAAGACCCGGCCAAAAUGAAGUCAGCCAUCAGCAUUGUAUCAGAGGAGACGGGACAAAAUGAAAUGAAAGAAAACGUUUAAAAAAAAAAAAGACUUUGAGUUAAAAUAUUUCAAACCAAAAAAAAAUGUAUGCAUUGACUCACUUCCUGGUUCUGUUGGAUUUCAGUUGAAAUGUUGACAUGGGACUGACUGUGUUUUUCAGAAUGUGUGCGUUUGUGUGUUUGUUUGGUCGAAAGGCUUCAUUUAAAUCUGUUCUAAACAGACAAAAUAAUUUACUGAAGCCCCAGAAACAUUAUUAUAAUCAACAGAGUCUUUUCAAUCAGUUUCUGAUUUCUGUUUCCCCUGUUAAAAAAAAAAAGCAGAUUCAAGUCUCUCUUAGUUUACAACAGACCUGACUUUGAAAUGAUGAUGCAAG